rnacentral:rRNA from 1 species
GAUGAACGCUGGCGGCGUGCCUAAUACAUGCAAGUCGAGCGAACAGACGAGGAGCUUGCUCCUCUGACGUUAGCGGCGGACGGGUGAGUAACACGUGGAUAACCUACCUAUAAGACUGGGAUAACUUCGGGAAACCGGAGCUAAUACCGGAUAAUAUAUUGAACCGCAUGGCUCAAUAGUGAAAGACGGUUUUGCUGUCACUUAUAGAUGGAUCCGCGCCGCAUUAGCUAGUUGGUAAGGUAACGGCAUACCAAGGCAACGAUGCGUAGCCGACCUGAGAGGGUGAUCGGCCACACUGGAACUGAGACACGGUCCAGACUCCUACGGGAGGCAGCAGUAGGGAAUCUUCCGCAAUGGGCGAAAGCUUGACGGAGCAACGCCGCGUGAGUGAUGAAGGUCUUCGGAUCGUAAAACUCUGUUAUUAGGGAAGAACAAAUGUGUAAGUAACUAUGCACGUCUUGACGGUACCUAAUCAGAAAGCCACGGCUAACUACGUG